rnacentral:lncRNA from 1 species
ACGUGUAAUUCUGCCAUUUGUCUUGCCCACCCAGCAACUGUUAUUACUCCAUACCUAUUACUAAUUAUCCCAAAUACUAAUGGUAUGUACUUACAUAAAUCACUUAAAGUAUCAUUGGUUGCUAUUAUCUUUCCUUUCAAACAUUUAUGUUCCCCAACUCCUCUUAGUACUGGGUAUUGAGGAGUAGUUGCAAGCAAUUUUUUAAAGGACCAGAUAUAAGGAAGUUGAGCUCGGACAAAUGCAGUGUGCAUUUAAUGCUAUAUAUCUCUAAGGUUGACAUUCACUUCCCUGUGUAGUUAAGUAGCCUUCCCGUAGGAAUGAUCCCUAUAUGAACUAGUCAACUCACCUGGAGUCUUGAAAAGUAGGUGCAGGAUAAGAGGCUGAUGGAUGACGUGGAUAUGAUACCUGUACCAUGAGCACGGAGGUGAUAGAGAAGAAACAAAGGUAAAGUAACAGAGAGCCUCAUCUGUGAACAGUUGUCAGCAAAAUGUUUGGAUGUCAUAAACACCCAGUGCAAAGACUGUAUCUGAUAAUACAAAGUGCACAGCUGCAGAUACGUCACACAGUCUUUUUGAUAGCAGUGACACAACAUAGGAUUACUUUGCAAAUCAGAAUCCAAGCAGCACUCUUGAGUAGCAUUUUUUCAUGUGUGUGCAUGUGCACAUUCUCAUAUGGGCGUGCCUCUAUGGCACUCACUUGACUUCAUCUCCACAACACUGGGAUUACAGAAGCUCACACUAUGCUCAGCUUUUUACAUGGAUUCUAAAGGUCAAACUCCGGGCCCCUGCUUGCAAGGCCAGCACUUUACCAACUAUGCUGUCUCCCUCUUUAACCCCUGCAGGAAGCAUUCCAAUCUGUGGGUAGAUUCAAUGUUUUAUGCGACCAAAUCACCAAUAAUAAUUUUAAAAGUUGAUCAAGCACAUGAGUAGGAAUACUGAAUUAUAUCCCUAUUCUUUCUGUAAUAAUUGUGUAUUCAAAUUUUAUGAAAAGGCUGUGAAGGCAUGCAGACAAAAUUUGAGCAGAGACAUAGCAGGUGCUUAAUUCAAAUGCUGUAUUCCUUGACUUAGGAAUAUUGGUAUUAUCUUUUAGUAGCAUUCCUUGUAUAAUGCUUUGUGAUUCCUUUUUAAAUUUUAAAUAAAUGUUUGCACUUUUGCCUGAAUUUAUGACUUUUUCUUCAAGGUCCUCCCCCCUUUCUCAAUUACAUGUGUUACAAGCCCCAUGGAAGCUGCCUAUACAUUCUCACCUCUGAGUUUACAGGACUGUUCUGCCAUGGUCCUCAGGACUCUGUACCACUCAGUACUCAGACUGAAGAAGAGAUUCCUGACCCAUUCUGUAGCUCAGUGGGGAAAGUCUUUGCUGUACUGUGAAGACUUGAAUUUGAAUCUCCAGCACCCACAUAAAAUCCAGUAGCCUUAAUGGCCUGCCCAAAAUUCCAGUGGAGCUAGAGAAUCUCCAGAGAAAACAGGUUAGGCAGACUAGUCAAGUGGUAAGCACCAGGUUCAGCAUGAGACCCUACCUUAGUAUGCAGAAUGGAGAGUAAUCCAGUAAGAUAUACCAUGCCAAACCAACCUGGGCCUUUGCAUGGACACACUCAUGUGCAUCCAUAUACAUUUAAACAUACAUAUGUCAACACAGAAAACAUACCAAAAAACCCAACUAAAUGAAAACUCAAUAACAAAACAAUGGGUACCUGGGUUAAAGAAAUGGGGAGAAUUGAAAGUUGGAGCUUGGUGGUAAAGCACUUGCCUAACACGUGUAAGCUCUCAGGUUCAAUAUCCAGCACUACAGGAAAAAAACAAAACAAAAAAACAAAAAAACCCAAACCAAACCAAAUAAAAACAAAAUGAACCAAACAACAACUACCCCAAACAAUCCAAACAUCUGAAAAACCACUUCACCAAAGAAGGUAUAUAGAUGACGUGGCAUAUGAAAAGACAUUGUCUUAGUCAGGGUUUUUAUUCUUGCACAAACAUCACAACCAAGAAGCAGCUGGGGAGGAAAGGGUUUAUUCAGCUUACAUUUCUACAUUGCUGUUCAUCACUGAAAGAACUCAGGACUGGAACUCAAGCAGGUCAGGGAGCAGGAGCUGAUGCAGAGGCCAUGGAGGGAUGUUCUUGACUGGCUUGCUUCCCCUGCCUUGCUCAGCCUGCUCUCUUAUAGAACCCAAGACUGCCAGCCCAGAGAUGGUCCCACCCACAAGGGACCUUUCCCCCUUGAUCACUAAUUGAGAAAAUGCCUUACAGUUGGAUCUCAUGGAGGCAUUUCCUCAACUGAAGCUCCGUUCUCUGUGAUAACUCCAGCUGUGUCAAGUUGACACAAAACUAGCCAGUACAGACAUGAAACAUACCACUCAGGAGCUGGCAAUGAAAACAAAAAGCCAUAUAUUGAGCUCCAUGAAAAACUCUGGUUCCUUGAGAUCUGGAGUUGUUAGUAAUUGGUUCUAAUGCUUUGAAUUAAUCAGGCCCCCAAAUAGGGAAUCUGCUUGUCCAAGGCUGAAGGUCCUUGUCCCCAGUUGGUUUUUGAUCAGUCAAUAAAGAGCCAACAGUCAAUGACUGGGCAGGUAGAUUAAGGCAGGACCUUGAGAUUUGCACAUGCUAGGAGUGGGGAGAGAGGAAGGAGAGAAGAAUCGCCUUAUUUCCGAGGGAGAUGGAUCAGAUUUAGAGCUGCAGAAGGAAAAUGAUCCAAAAUGUAGGUGAGAAGGAAUGUGGUCCCUGGAAGGGCUGCCCAGAAGCGUCUUGGGCAGCAAAGACUAGGGAGCCACCCAGAAGGAACCAGGGCAACAAAGACAAAAUACAGAAUUAAAGGGCAUUAAGCCAGGAUUACAGGAGGGAAAUGUGUGCUAGCAGGGGGGUGAGCCUUUGAGCUAGUCAUGGCAUGUCAAAAGUUAACUAGUGUGUGUGUGUGUGUGUGUGUGUGUGUGUGUGUGUUUCAUUCACAGAUCCACAUGGCUCCUGGGCAGGUGUGUGUGUAUGACCCAUCGGGGGCACAAAGCUGUGUAGCAAAACUCACCGCUACAUUGAGUUUCUGGAUUGGUGACUCUAUCUACCUGGGAGGUUGGCACACUAAUUCCCAGGACAGAAGAUCAUGUACCCACUAUCCUUCCUGACUUGUCUUAUGUACUUCUUCAUCUGGGGGCUCAUUUGCAUAACUUACUGUGAACCUGUAAAUGUAAGUGACACAUAUAUGUGUGAAACAUUCUAACAAUGUGUAAACCUGAGGAGGGCACACUUGGAGCCACAGUUUACAUUUGGAAACAGCCAGUCAUUUGGAAAGAUAGUAUGGGUACUGAUAUUUAGACUUGACCUGUGGGAUUGAGCCAUUAUAUUGUGGAAUCCAGUGCUAACUUAAAGGAGUAUUAGUGCCAGAAUCAAAUUGCUGGACACCCACUUAUAUCUUCAGGGUACCAAAGAAUUUCUUAUACAUUUGACUCCAGAAAGACAUGUGCGCAAUAAAAGUUUUAGGGACAUAAUUACAGGCAUCUGAGAAACCAGGGUGAUUGUCUGAGUAAUAAUUUAAAAUUAUCUUGAGUAGAAACCAGAGUACUUUAAAUAAUCUUCCAACAAUGCCUAUCUCUUAAGGCUCUGAACCUUUCCCCUACCUACUGGUUAAUUGGGGCUGUCAGUAAGAGUGACUAAAUGAACAGAAGGCCAAAAAUCCUCCUAAGAACAGAGACUUUGAGUGAUAAACAUUGUCAAGCUCUUGCUUCUUCAUAUAAGAAAUGAGUCAUAUUCAAAACAGUUGUAUGCCAGAUGCAAGACAGCACACAAAGCAGUUGACAGCUAUUGGGAUGGACUACUGCAUCAUGCCUUGUCACUUGUUUAUAUUUUUGUUGUUAGAAUGCAAUGACUCCCAUGGGCCCGUC